ACGUGUCUUUGACGUCACAGCCUGAAAACGUAAACAAACCUCCGUGUUGCGACAUCUCUGUUGUUGUUGUUUUUGUCUGACAGUUUUGUCGCUUUUAUUGCCUUUUAAAACCCUCCUCGUAUUCUCCAGUCUUCGUGUUGAUGGUUGUCCUGGAGCUGUAGUUCCCCGGUAAACUCACGGUAACCGGAGAGAUUCAUUAUGGCUCAGCAGAGAGGAGUCAACAGCCUGCAGUUCAACCAGGACCAGAGCUGUUUCUGCUGUGCGAUGGAGACGGGGGUCAGGAUUUAUAACGUGGAGCCUCUGAUGGAGAAAGGACACCUGGGUGAGAGGAAGCAUUUAUUAGAUCAAGGUGCAAGGCUUUUAUUGCUCAUACGAACAUAGCUACAGUGUAGUUACGUCGAUGAACAUCUGAGGUCACAUGCUCCUCCAACAGAGCCACACAAUAACACAGACAAACAGAACAAAAUAGUGCAAGUAAAUGCAAAAAGAAAAUAGUAAAAUGUGAAAUAGUGCAAUAUGAGUCUAUAUGCAAGUUAUCGGAAUAUGAUAUAUUAGAUCAAUCAUUUCUAAGCAGCAGCCAGAGGAAUGUUAUGGAUGUUGUUUCAUAAGAUAAGAACUUUAUUGAUCCAAAUUUGGGAAAUGUU